rnacentral:rRNA from 1 species
AACGCGAAGAACCUUACCUGGGCUCGAAAUGUAGUGGAAUCCGGCAGAAACGUCGGCGUCUAGCAAUAGACCGCUAUAUAGGUGCUGCAUGGCUGUCGUCAGCUCGUGUCGUGAGAUGUUGGGUUAAGUCCCGCAACGAGCGCAACCCUUAUCUUCAGUUGCUACCAUUUAGUUGAGCACUCUGACGAAACCGCCUCGGAUAACGGGGAGGAAGGUGGGGAUGACGUCAAGUCCUCAUGGCCUUUAUGUCCAGGGCUACACACGUGCUACAAUGGCCGGUACAAACCGCUGCAAACCCGCGAGGGGGAGCUAAUCGGAAAAAGCCGGCCUCAGUUCGGAUUGGAGUCUGCAACUCGACUCCAUGAAGCUGGAAUCGCUAGUAAUCGUGGAUCAGCAUGCCACGGUGAAUACGUUCCCGGGCCUUGUA